UACGAAGGGUGCAAGCGUUACUCGGAAUUACUGGGCGUAAAGCGUGCGUAGGUGGUUCGUUAAGUCUGAUGUGAAAGCCCUGGGCUCAACCUGGGAAUGGCAUUGGAUACUGGCGACCUAGAGUGCGGUAGAGGGUGGCGGAAUUCCCGGUGUAGCAGUGAAAUGCGUAGGUAUCGGGAGGAACAUCCGUGGCGAAGGCGGCCACCUGGACCAGCACUGACACUGAGGCACGAAAGCGUGGGGAGCAAACAGG
rnacentral:rRNA from 1 species